AAGACUAUAGACCUGCGGAGUACCUGCGGAAGGAUCAUUACCGAGUUUUCAACUCCCUAACCCUUCUGUGAACCUACCUAUCGUUGCUUCGGCGGACUCGCCCCAGCCCGGACGCGGACUGGACCAGCGGCCCGCCGGGGACCUCAAACUCUUGUAUUCCAGCAUCUUCUGAAUACGCCGCAAGGCAAAACAAAUGAAUCAAAACUUUUAACAACGGAUCUCUAGAUCGGAAGAGCACAC
rnacentral:misc_RNA from 1 species